UCUGGUUGAUCCUGCCAGUAGUCAUAUGCUUGUCUCAAAGAUUAAGCCAUGCACGUCUAAGGAUAAAUAUUAUUUAACCAUAAACCUGCGAAAGGCUCAUUAAAUCAGUAAUAAUCUAUUCUAUUAUUUAAUCCUAUUUGGAUAACUGUAGUAAUUCUAGAGCUAAUACAUGCAAAAAACCUGGACUUUACAGAACAGGUGUACUUAUUAGACUUUAAAACCGAUUACAAUUUAUUGUAAAUUUAAAAUGAAUUAAAAUAAGUUUAUGAAUCGCAGAUCAUUUUGUGAUGAUAAGAAUGAAUUUCUGCCCUAUCAACUUUCGAUGGUAAUGUAGUGGAUUACCAUGGUGAUGACGGGUAACGGGGAAUUAGGGUUUGAUUCCGGAGAAAAGGCCUGAGAGACGGCCAUUACUUCUAAGGAAGGCAGCAGGCGCGUAAAUUACCCAAUCCUAAUACGGGGAGGUAGUGACAAGAAAUAUUGAUAUUGGACCCAAAGGGUACAAUGAUUGAAAUGAGAACAAUAUAAAAAACUUAACGACUAACAAUUGGAGGGCAAGUCUGGUGCCAGCAGCCGCGGUAAUUCCAGCUCCAAGAGUGUAUAUUAAAGUUGUUGCGGUUAAAAAGCUCGUAGUUGAAUUUCUGAAAAUAAUCUUGUGAUUGAUUUAACCGUCAUGAACAAAAAUUGUUUACAUACUUGAUAGAUGGAAACAUUUAUCUUAAUGACUUUGAAAAAAUUAGAGUGUUCAAAGCAUGAUUCACAUUUGAAUAAUACAGCAUGGGAUAAUAUAAUAUGACAUUAGUUAAAAUUUGUUGGUUUCUUUGGCUAAUGUAAUGAUUAAAAGGGACAGUUGGAGUAAUUUAUAUUGGUUGGGGAGGGGUGAAAUCCUAUGAUCCUUCCAAGAUAAACUAGUGCGAAAGCAUUUUACUAGGAUGUUUUCAUUAAUCAAGAACGAAAGUUGGGGGAUCGAAGAUGAUCAGAUACCGUCGUAGUCUCAACCAUAAACUAUGUCGACUAAGGAUGAUAAAAUAUUAAAUGAAUGAUUUUUGUCGCACUUUAAAAGAAAUUAAAGUAUUCAGACUCCGGGGGGAGUAUGGUCGCAAGGCUGAAACUUAAAGGAAUUGACGGAAGGGCACCACCAGGAGUGGAACCUGCGGCUUAAUUUGACUCAACACGGGGAAACUUACUAGGUCAGGACACAGUAAGGAUUGACAGAUUGAAAGCUCUUUCUUGAUUUUGUGGAUGGUGGUGCAUGGCCGUUUUUAGUUGGUGGAUUGAUUUGUCUGGUUAAUUCCGAAAACGAACGAGACCUUAACCUGUUAACUAUGUGAUGUUAAAAUUCGACUUCGGUCUCAAUAUUUGAUAUUAAAAAUUUAAUACUUCUUAAAGGAACAAUUCAAACUUUAAUUGAAUGGAAGUUUAAGGCAAAAACAGGUCUGUGAUGCCCUUCGAUGUUCUGGG
rnacentral:rRNA from 1 species